UACGGAGGGUGCAAGCGUUGCUCGGAAUUAUUGGGCGUAAAGGGUAGGUAGGUGGUCUUAUUUGUCUGGGGUGAAAGCCUUGAGCUUAACUCAAGAAGUGCCCCAGAAACGGUGAGACUAGAGUCUUGGAGAGGGUCGUGGAAUUCCCGGUGUAGCGGUGAAAUGCGUAGAUAUCUGGAGGAACACCGGUGGCGAAGGCGGCAUCCUGGACCGAUAUUGACGCUGAUGCGCGAAAGCCAGGGGAGCAAACGGG
rnacentral:rRNA from 1 species